AGCCUCAGCCCUACCCAUAGCCCCAGCCACACCCCCUUUGAGGAGAGAAGGUGCUGGGUUGGGUGAGGAGCUCUGCGGGAGGACUGAACCAAGCUGUGGGCUCCUGGGCACCUGCCCAUGAGCCAGGCCUGCAUCUCCCAGACCUGCUUGUGGGUGAGCCUGCAUGCUGACAUGCUUGGCUGGGCUCUAGCCUUGGCUAUUGGUGGCCCAGGGUUUGUGUGUGUGUGUGUGUGUGUGUGUGUGUGUGUCCCUUUGGAGCUAUGUAGUUUGUGUACCAAAAUAAGAAGGGAGCUGGGGAGUUGAGCCCUGAUGAACUUUGUAACAAUAAAGCCUUAUCUUGUUAAAUAAAUCAAGCCUUGAAUAAA
rnacentral:lncRNA from 1 species